UACGGGGGGGGCAAGCGUUGUUCGGAAUUACUGGGCGUAAAGGGCUCGUAGGUGGCCAACUAAGUCGGACGUGAAAUCCCUCGGCUUAACCGGGGAACUGCGUCUGAUACUGGAUGGCUUGAGUUCGGGAGAGGGAUGCGGAAUUCCAGGUGUAGCGGUGAAAUGCGUAGAUAUCAGGAAGAACACCCGUGGCGAAGGCGGCUCUCUGGGACGGUACUGACGCUGAGACGCGAAAGCGUGGGGAGCGAACAGG
rnacentral:rRNA from 1 species